GCUCGGAGGCUGAGCCGCGGCGGGGCACAGGCUGGACAUUCCGGCUCGGACAGCAGCCUGAGGCGGGCGGAGCAGAGGUGGCGGCGGAGGCCCAGGUCCUGCAUCAAGUGCCUUCUGCGUGCACACCUGCGAGGCAAGAGAGAA